rnacentral:piRNA from 1 species
GUGGUGGUGGUGGUGGUGGUGGUGUUU